rnacentral:lncRNA from 1 species
CUGAAACAAAAAAUAAUAAUAAUUAAGAUCUUCAUAAUAGAGUAUAAAAACAAUAACAAUGAUCACAGCUAUCUAAUUGUAAUUUAAUAAAACGGUCACAACUAUCUUUUAUUUUCCAUUAAAGAAAACUAAAACACUAUAUUUAAUUUGUAAUAUAAGGGAGGAGAGCAAACUGCAGACCAAUGGUGUCAGCUAUGUUGAGACCGUUGCUGCACCUUCCUGAAGCCCCAGUAUCAAAGUCGAUCCCAUAAGGAAGGUAAUUAACUUUAGCUGGAGUGCUAAGGUAGUUAUUGUUUCCGUUAUCAAAGAGGGAAUCUCCAAAGACGAAGUAGCAAGGAACUUGAGGUACGGCCUUUCCAGAAGUCCAGUGUUGCCAGUUUGACACCAGCAACACCACAGACAACACCCACAAUACCUUAACCCCACUUUCCAUUGACAAAUAAAACGAAAGAAGGAAACAAAAACAGUAAAUAUAGAAAGAAGGAAGAAGUGCGUAGCUAGGGAAGAUCGAGUGCUUUGAAGUAGAACGAACCAGGCUUAUUUAUAGAGUGGAGAUCUAGCUACCAGCUUGUAAAUGUGUUGUUCUAUUGUAAGCCACGUGUUUUUUUCAAUCUAAUUGGUUUACAAUGCCUUAUAGAUCUGAUAGUACGUAUCAUGUCUCCUUAGACUUGUCACUUACAGUAUUUCUUUCCCUUUAUUUUUGGGAGUUUGCUUUCUCCUUCAAAUUGAUCAAAUAUCUCUUUAUUUUCUGUACUUGCUUUAAUAAUUUUCGCUUCUUUCAUAGUCUUACUUAAUGUAAUUUUAAACCAUUUUUCCUUUUUUAGUUCUACGACAAAUAUAAGUUAUUGUUGUUUUAUUUUUUCAAACUACUCUUCAAAAAUAGAAUUGGUAAUUGAAUAGGCGAUUGCACUUUCUUCAAAAUUAAAAUUGGUAUAUCCUUUUAUGUGGCUUUUGUUUUAUUUAUUUUGUAAAAAUAUUUUUAUAUCAAGUAAAAUCAUCUAUAAUAAUGUCAAUAUCUGAAUACUUGAUUUUAAAAAUAUUUUCUAAGAUUUAAAUAUAUCACUUUCAAAAUUAACUUAAAACGUUCUUGUUUUGUUAUUAUAUUUUAUGGUAAUUAGAAACUCAUUUGUAUUUGAUUUGAACAAAAAAUCUUCUUUUAAAAAAUCCUGAUAAAAAAAGUAUUUUUUUCAUAUUUUUUCAAUAAAAUUAAAUAUUUUGCUAUAACUAUUCUCUUGUAACAAAUAAAUUAUAUUUUUAUUUAACUAUUGUAAAAAUAGUAAUUUAUUUUGUAUCAAUUUAAUAUUAAUAAAAUUAUUAUAUUUUUUUGAAAAAGAAUAACUAGUCCUAUUAACUGUAAAUAAUUAUAUGAAUAUUUUAAAUACUUAUCAUAUACUAAAAGUAUUAUUUCAAGAACUAGCCAUGUGAAGGAAUACAUCAUUUUGAUAAUUAUACAUAUACUAAAAGUAAAUAUGUUUUACUGUAGAAAUGACAGCUGAAUGUUUUUUUGCUUUUCACUGUAGUGGGUACUGUAAUGAAAUGAUGAUAAAUCUGAAUAUUUUUAAGAAAAUAAAUUUUUUUAAAAUUGUUUUUCUCUAACUGUUUUUAUCAUUUUAUACUUGACAUAUUUAUCAUCAUAUUUUUUUUUAUCUUCACUUUUUUAAAUAUCUUUUUAAUUUUUUUUCUUUACACUUUUUUAUGAAAAAAAUAUUAUUUUUUUUCACUCUUUACAAUUGAAAUAUUUAUUAUUUUACACUUUGCCUAUUUAUGCUAUUUUUUUUUAUUAUUAUCUUCAUUCUUUUAUAAUUGUUUUUAUAAUUUUUUUCUUUGUUCUACUUUACAUUUCUUUUUGAAAAAUUAUUAUACAAAGAAGAAAUCAUUUUUCAAUGUAGAAAUUGCAAUAUUAUUUUAUUUUUUUACUACGUUAAAAAUGAGUUUAAGAUCUUACAAAUCUUUAUUAAUACAUGUGAUUUUCAUUAUAUUUUAUAUAUUAUAUGUAAGUAUCAACCUUUUUUAUCUGUUGUCAAAAAACAAGUUAAUAAUACCUAUACAUUAAUUCAUUUGCAUUUUAAAAAAAUUAUUAGCAAUGUUAAUAUUUUAUUAUAUGUAAGCGAAUAGAAUUGUUAAUAUUUUUUAGUUUUGUAUUUAUAAGCAUAAAUAGUUCUUGAUUUAUUUAAUUAAAUGUGUAUAUAUGAAUAUUUUGAUUUAUAAUUAAAAAUUUUAUUAUAAAAAAACACAUUUAAAAAUUUUAUAUAUUACUUUUUUUACUAAAAAAGUUAUCCCAUUUGUAUCAAAACACGAGUAGAGUAAGAGUAAAAUAGCUAGUUUAUUAUAAUACUAUAAAACUGAAAACGAAAGGGAAUGGGGGCACACAACCAUUUAAUAUUCUUGUUGGCAGUUGGAAAAAUAAUAAGUGCUACAUUAUGGCACUUUCUGAAUUGAAACGAUUGAAUUAUUUUGGAUUCUUGCGCAUAAUGAAGUAAUUCGCUUUUAUUUCUUCAUCUACCAUAAUUACUUGCUGGUCGGGGUAAAAGCCGUACCAAGAAAAACACCAUGUGUCUCAAUUUCAUCAUUGGUGUGAAAAACAUUCGAAGAAAAGAGAUAAUUUGGCAAACAAAUUAAAAAGAAAUGAUGAAUUAACAUGGUAUUAAAAAGUUUUGAUGAAAUAAUGUAAUUUUAAAUAUUACGGUUUAAAAAUAUAAUAUAUAUUUUAUAUCACGAUUCUGAAUCGAUUUAAUCAAUGUUUUGUUGUUGAACCGCGAUAUCAAGUUAUUUCCUUCACAUCUCUACUUGACUCAAUAACUAUUACAACUAUAUAAUGUCAAUUGUACUAGAGCAGAAACAGGUAUUGCAUAAACACCUUUUAAAAUAUGAUUAAAUGAUUCUUUAAAUUUAUGUUUGAAGUUGCUAACAAAAUAUCAGGCAUAAGAUCAAUGGUAUCCUAUAAGUUCACACUAAAUUUCUUCUACUCCAUUCUUUAUUGCUGAAUGUUUAUCUAAUAUUAUACAAAUAUAUGUUCUAUAUAAGAUCAAUGGUAUCCUAUAAGUUCACACUAAAUUUCUUCUACUCCAUUCUUUAUUGCUGAAUGUUUAUCUAAUAUUAUACAAAUAUAUGUUCUAUCACCAGUAACAUGUCUAUAUAAACAAAGAAAAAACAACUCUAAUUAGAAUUCUUUUCUUCAACAAUUACAAAAGCCAAUGGGAAUAUCCUAUUAUUUGCAUCAAAAACAACUACAGGUAAUAACUUCUCAUCAUAUUGCCCCUACAAAUAUUGUCGUCAACAUUAAUAAGUGCUCUACAAUACUUGAAACCUUCAAUGCAAGAUCUAAAUGACAAAAAACACUAUAAAAAAGAAGGAAUAAAAAGUACUUUUUGUAUGUAGAGUUGAAAGGGAUAUUGCAUCGCUAGUACCAUCGAGUGAAGAAUUAUAUGAUAUGAUCUCGCAAUACGAGGGCAUUGUGUUUGGUUUUCAUUCUAGUAAGAACAAGUUUCCUGGUUUUGGUAUGACCGAUAAUUGGGUAAAGCAAAGUAUUUUUUUGGAGCUUUGAAAGCUAAUCUUUUUUUUUCAUAAUUUGGAUGUUAUGCAUAUAAAAAAGAACAUAUUUGAAAUAGUUUUACCAUGGUGAUGGACAUGAAAGGGAAGACAAAGGACAACAUGAAAACUAGAAUGAAUAUGCAUUUCUUUUGUCACAGUAAAAAGAUAAAGUUGGUUUAUGAUGGGUCACGGGUCGCAAAGCCCAAAGCCAACUUCGCCGUAGAUAAAAAGACACACUUACUUGUUUAUUAAUGGCUUAAGCAUAUGCGUUUUCCUGAUGGAUAUGCUUUGAAAAUAUCUAGAUUUGUGAAUUUGGAGGGUGACAUAUUGUAUGGAAUGAAGAGUCAUGAUUACCAUGUGUUUAUGCAAACAUUCAUAUCAGUUUCUUAAAAAAAAAAAUUAUUAUUUUUGUUUCAAAUUAAUAUUUUUUGGUGUUUUCAUAUUGUUUUGAUGUAUUGAUGCCAAAAAAAUUUUUAAAAUAAAAAAAAUAUAUUAUUUUAAUAUAUUUCUAAAUAAAAAAUAUUUUAAAAAACAAUUAUUAUCACAUUUCUAAACACAAAUUAAGAAUGAGUGACUUUUCUCAAGUGGUUGUGGUUUUUACAUAUUAGUGAAACAUGGGCAUAAUCAAACAACUUUUUUAAAUUUAAAAAAACAUGGCAUAAUCAAACAAUAUUUUUAAAUAUCAUUGUGAAUAAUAAUUUAAAGCAAUUUUUUAAAAUUUUAAAAAAGUGUUUCUUGGCCUAGGAGGUUAAGUUUGCGAGUGUGACAUUUUUUUCUUUUACAUUAAUCGGACGACUAAAAAAAGCAAUAGAGUUGUUGAAGUUUCUGGAUGUUUUUUUUUUUUGUGUUUUCAAAUUAAAAUUAAAUUUUGAGAUAAAAAAUUAAGUUUUAAUUUUCUUACUCAAAAUACUCUCUAAUCACUCUAAAAACCAAAAAUCAAACCAAAUCUAAACAAGCUUUAUGGGUCAUGAUUUACUUUUCUCGACAUGAUUAAAAGACAAAACCACCUCUAUUAAACUCUCAUUUUGAUACGAUUCACGUAAGGUUAAAUUCAGAUUUUGAUGUAAAAUGUGCAACUAUCCAGUUUUACGGUAACAGUCAUAAUUCGCAAUCUGAUCGUUGGAUCGGGCUGAAACUUUAUAUGGAGUCUCCUGUCAUGUUGUCCUACCUUAAGUUAAAUUUUCAAGUCAAUCGGAGUUCAGGAAAGUAUCGCAGUACGGGUGAACAAAGGCUGUAUGAAUUUUGUUAUUUACUUCUUUUUGACUUAUAAAUUUUUUAUUUAGUUAUGAUUCUUUUCCAAAAUAUCUUCAAGAUAAAUUCAUUGAAACCAAGAUCGAUUAUAGUUUUUGUGGCCAGAAUCUAGUUGAUACUAUUGUUUUUCUCUCCUUUUCUUUUUUAACAAUUCUUUGUUUUUUUUUCAACAUUUAGGGAUUGGAAUAUAAAAAAAAUAAAGUUUGAAACUAAAAUGUAAAAAUCUAAACUAUAAAGAUAAAUUAUGUAAAAAACAAAAAACUUUAAGAAUUCAUCGAUAACAUUCCUCCUGCAGAACCAGGGGGGGAAAAUGAUUGAUUGUGUAACCAACUGUCAUUUGCACGGCAUGAUGACCAACACUUUUAACUUUUAAAGUUUCUCCUAACCCGCGUUAUGUUAAUUUUUAGAAACUCCUAAAAUGAACACGUAUUUCCUUACAAGGAAGUUCAAAGCUAAAAUAAUAUAUUUUUUAUGAAUAAAUAAUAGCUAAAAUAAAAUUGACAACAACAAAAUAAAGCUUCAAAGCUAAAGUAAUUUAUUUUUUUGAAAAUAUUGUUUUAUAUAUAUAAAAUUCAUCUUCCAAAACUUAAUGUACGAUUUAAGCAAAUAAAAGAGACAGGUAAAAACAUGAUUUUUCAAAAAUGGUUGUUAUGUGAUAUAAUUAUAAACUCUCAUUAGUGCAUUUUAUAAUGUGAUUAAGGAAUUAAGUAAUUGUUAUUGUCUUCUUGAGGCGAAUUCCCUUCUAGCAGGCAUCAUUAUGAAUUCAUUAAUUAAAAUCAUAACAACUUUCGGAAUGCGUAAAUGCAAAUUUUAUUGGAAUUAUAUUGUGCAAGGCUAUUGAAAGACAGUAAAUAUGUCUUUCAAUUGUUCUUACAGUCACAAUAUUUUAUUCUCUAAGAACUUAUCGUCUUCUCCAUCAGAGCUGAGCAUGAUUGAUAUCGUAAGCAUCAGAAUCAUCAAGCUUCAGCUUAACUAGUUCGCUGAUAUCAUAUGGAUAGGCGUCCUUUGGUGACUGACGUUUAUAUGCUCUUUUUCCAAAGGCCCAAGCUUUAGCUUCAGUAAAAUGGGCUCCAUCCCAGUACACAUAGUCACUCCUGUUGCUACAUGGGAAGGAGAGAGAUUUACAUGGGACUGAACCAGGUUCUACCUCGCAACAGCUCUUACGGGUUUGUGUAAAACCUGCAAGCAAGAAAAAAUAAUUUUGGUAUCACAAAAAAGUCGUCUUCAACCGUGAGAGAAAGAGAGCAAGGGAGGGAGGGGAUUCGUACCUGUAUUUGUCUGAUCAUCAGAAUCAAUUUCGUAAGAGUUUAUGUAGGUAAACACAGCAUCAGAAUGCUUAGUAUUAAGUUUAUGUAGCAGUGCUGGAAGCUUGUCGUUGAAAAAUUGAACAUCACUGUUGAACUUUUCUACACAUGAAGAAGAUUCAUCUACGUCAUUGGGAUGGUUUUGUCUGUUGUGCGGCAUACAUCCUACCCGAAUAAGUCCGAACACAGCUAUCUUUCUUGCCCCUGAGCAAUACAGUUUCUGGCAGCAAGGGAAAAAAAACGGAAUGAAGUGGGGGUCUUUGUUAGUUUCCAAUCGCGUCAAACAUUAAUUGUUGUUUUACAAGAGACAUUAAGUAGGGCUAACCUCCAGCUGAGUUUCAUAAGUUUCAAUAAGAAGUUGAGCAAAUUUUUCAGGAGUAUAUUGCUUGCUGCUAUUGUACUCUUCCUUGAAAUAAUUGUUGAGGUAGUCGUUAUGACCCAUAUCAGACACAUAGAUGCAUUGGCUCAAGUACUUCCUAGCAACUUCCUCGCUUCCCAAGAUUUUGGAAAUUCGUGAAACCGUGAUAUUGUGAUUAAAUAACUGAGCAUUCAUUGUAAAUAGUUCUCCCUUCACAUACACAAAAGAAACAUAUGAAUAGUUAGCGUUGCCAAAGCAUACAAGAUUACGCAAAAUUCAUACGGAAUAAUACAAGGUUUUAGUUAUGAGAGGCAUAUGAUCAGUAAUCACCGCAAGAGAGCCAGUUAUAUCAAGGAUGCCAGCUCCACUAGAUCCAUAAUUUACACCAUCUAGAAAAUUAGUGCAACCUCCGACACCAAAGUCCGUAAUGUAACUGUCGAAACCUAAUUGUUCAGCUGAAACAAAAGAAUAAUAAUUAAGAUCAUAACUGCCCACAUUACUAAACUCGGUUAUGUUGAGACCGUUGUAAAUUUAUGUUUCAAGUUAUACAAGAAACAAAAGAAUAAACCUAAUCAUCCUUCUUCUAAUAAAUUAUGUAAAUUUCAGCAACAAAAACAUUAGUACCAGACUUAGCAAGAUUUCUAAUUUUAAUUUAAUACAACGGUCAUAACUAUCUAGUGAGAACAUAUUUAUUUUCCAUUAAAGAAAACUAACACACUAUAUUUUGUAUUAUAAGAGAGGAGAGAAAACUGCAGACCAAUGGUGUCAGCUAUGUUGAGACCGUUGCUGCACCUUCCUGAAGCCCCAGUAUCAAAGUCUAUCCCAUAAGGUAGGUAAUUAACUUUAGCUGCAUUGUCAAGGUAGUUAUUGUUUCCGUUAUCAAAGAGAGAAUCUCCAAAGACGAAGUAGCAAGGAACUUGAGGUACAGCCUUUCCAUAAGUCCAGUGUUGCCAGUUUGACACCAGCAACACCACGGACAACACCCACAAU